AAGAGGGAGGGGCAGCUGCUGUUUUUGGGAAGCCCUGACACUGACUGGUCUUUUUCCACACAAAACUUUAUUUUCAUCUGUUUUUUCAAGGAAAUGUAUCUGGGUCAGAGGGAUAACGCACCGAGUUUACACAUAGGCCACAAAGCAGAGCACAGCCAAUCAGCGUAACCAAGGACUGUGACGCGCUACUGUGCUCGGUUCAAACCAAAGGACCCCGAAUCCCUUCGGCGCAUGCGCAAACUCUCGGACUUCACCGGCAGCGUUUACAACAACUGCAGCACAAAGGACUAAGGAACAGACGGACCCUCGUCUCAUGCUACUGACUGGAUGUGCGACUUUAUGUUCGCCAGUAUGUGUUUCUAUUUCAGAGAAGCGCCAAUAUCCUGGAAUGUAAGCUAUAGCAAUGCCAAGCCAUCUUAGUUUAAUUGCUUGGCCGUGGCCCGCUAACUGGCAACAGCCAUUACUGCGAAUCGUCGAGUGGGCGGGAUUAACAGCGCGUAAUGUGACGUUAUCUUGGAAGCAACACCAUGCCUUGAUUGGCUGGGGGUCUUUAGUCAACGCCUACAUCUGAGAUCCGCCUUCGCUUGGAAUCAUGCGCUGCUUGAUGACGUAUUUAUAUUGCGCUGCUAGGCGCAACAUGGCAGUAACCCAUAGCAACCAAUGAAAUUUUUUUUAUACAGAGAAUGCUACCUGCUGAUUUAGUCCCCCUCUUUAUUUAUAAACUUUUACUAUGGUAUAGACUGUCUUAUUCUUGUUAAAUCUUUACUUGGUUUUCAUUUUAUGAGUGUUUGUCGUCUUAGCCCUCUUUCCAACUGCCAUAUGGGUGUCACUGAGCUUGACCAUCAAAAAUCUAUUGCGCUGUGAGUUUAACAAAUUUAUUGUUAGGUUUUAUUAUUUAUCAUUCAAUUCAGAGCCGAUCCUAUUUAGAUUUAAAUCUUACAUUCAAACCACUACCUGGUUGUUAGGGUUUGGCCCCUUAGUAACGAGGUAGCUGCUGAAAAUCCAUUUUGCACCAAACUUCAGUCACACCCAAACAGAACAGAACCAGAAGCACAAGUCCCAGUAUGUUUACUCAUAUGCCCAGGCACUGUGUGUAGGGUGGCUGUUUUGGGGGGAGGCCCUCAGUUACCUAUAUGGUGCAUUCAAAGCAAUCGCUGCUCUGUAGCAAGAAGAAGACCUGCACACAUCAAUGGGAAACAUUUAUGAGUUGGCAGCAAUUACAUGCACUCACUGUGACAACGGCUUUCAACUCAUCCCAGCAUUAUCCUAUGCUCAAAAACAUGGCUGCCUUUAUUACUGUGAAUAGGGUUACCACCUUUUCUGGAAAAAAAAAUACUGGCCUUCCAAUAUAUUUAUAUUUGUUCACUAUUAAUAACAUUAGGAUCAACCAUUAUUUUUACCGGCCAAGCUGGGUGGCAACCCUAGCAGUGAAGCACCUUCUUUUCCAUGAUAAGAAAAGCAAAAUAUAAAUAAAUGUUGGGAAUAUGAAAUGGUAUCCAAGGGCCCAAAUCUAAUCACUUUUUUAUAUAAUGGCAGGGCUGAUAGAGGGUUCUCAGACAAUAGACGCACAUCGGAAGACAAUACCUUUUGCACAGUUCCUGCGAGUGGAGAAAAAAUUCCCAGUUUGACACAGAUGAUAGCCUCACACAUUUGGAAACAGCUUUAAUAGCUUUUAAUCAGACUGAAGAAGAAGAGGAUCUGAAGCAUCUCCAUGAAGAAAUUGAACUGCUUUUGAAAGUACAGUUUGGAAAAUAAAAAAGGGAAUAUGAAGAAUGCAUAUGAAGUGAACAUCAAGUGAAUAUGAAGAAAGAAAUUAGCUGUCAACGAGCAACAUUAACCAUCUGGAAAAUGAAGAAGAUAUUUCAUCAAGUGAAUAUGAAGAAGCAGCUGAACAGCUGAAGUGUGUAACAGAGACAUUAAUCAGAAUAAACAAACAAAUACUAGCAAUACACAGGGAACAACAGAAAAGGUCACAGAAAGGAAAAGCCCUUAAGUUCUAGUGCUCCUAAAAAGAGACAGAAUCUUUUCCCACAACUUUUACAUGGGCAUGACAACGUUCAACAUUAUUGUUGUGUUCUAUAACAGCCAGCUGUGUUCUGGCCACUAUUCCAUCCAUAAAGAAGUGGAAUCUUUUUGAACAGUAUUUUAAAACAUUAGAGUGGAAUACUUCAAGCUCCCCUGUAUGGCAAAAUUGUGACACAUGCCUGAGAUCUUUCAAUAUGGUUUGGUUUUCCAUAAUCUCACAUAGUUUGGUGUGUGCGCUCGACCAUUUUUUAAGCCACAGGCGUUGUUUCUGUGCAUCCUCAUCCAAAUCAAGGUGUUGAUGGUACAUUUUUCCUGACUUCCAUUUGUGAAUACCAACAACAUGGUAAAGGAGGGAGCACCACUUUUCUUUAAGCAAUGCAGCACUUCCCUCACAAGUCCGAGAAGACCACCACAGGAAGGUGUAGACACAGUAUUUGGCACUGAAGCCUGGGCUGUCUCACUGCCCAUCACCUGAGAGGCACACUCCUUUAUUAACAAUUUGUUGCAAUGUUUUCUCUUUCUCUAUGUGCCAAUGAAAAUCAAUUGUAGGAUAAAGAUAUGUCCGUUGAUUCAGAAAAUGAGUUGUUUUUCCAACUUGUUUAAGACCUAGUAUCGUGUUCAUAUAGCUAACUUUUGUAUAACUGGAACCAGAAUUGCUGCAGACAUUAAUAUGUUUCCUAGUGGCAUUCUUCCUUGUUUAGGCUGGCUCUCCCACAAAUGGAAACAAUGUCCUUUGGAGCAUACAGCAUCUACACUUAGAUAUGAAACAAUGUGUUUUUUCUUUAGUUUUUUAAUGGCGGCUGUACAGUUCAAGGCACCCUUGCAUCCUGAUGACAUCAGAAGACGGUCAAGACAAGAUUCAAAUACAAGGUAUUUAUUCUCAGUGACAACAUCAGAAAUGGUAUCAGAGGUAUUGUCAGAACCAAAAGUUGUAUGAGGAAAUGAUUCUUCCUCUUCCAUCUCUAAUAGCUGGGUGCUCUCCAUUGAAGGAUGAUAUGAUUCAUCUCGAGUUCUUUUUCCACACUCGUCUUGAGAUUCUUCAAGAUUUUCCAAAGAAUCAUCUAGAUAUGAAUCAGAUACUUGUAUGGAAUUUUGUUUUGAAGAAGAUGGCAAAGAAAAUUGGUCCAUAUUAAAUAAUGUGCCAUGGCUCCUCUCAAGAUGUUUUAUAUUAAUUGGUGUGGAGUGUUUAAAAUGCUCCUGAUCAAUCUGAAGGAUAGAGGUAAAGGAAUCUACUGCUGUCUCCUUUUCUAGUUCACACUGUAUAGCUUUGGACUUUUGACUCACAGCUGCCUAGCGUGAGAGCGUAGACAUGUUUUCAAAAGUACUUUGGAUUUGUACAUAUUCCAACACUUUUCUUGUUUGCAACUUAAUCUGGGUUUGUACCAGAUUCUAACAUCAGUGGAUUUCUAAACACAUGUUUUGAAGAUGAUAAAGAGGUACAAGUUGGAACGUUGGAGCUUUGAAAUGAUGACAAUUCUUCCUCAUUCCCUUCAGGAGUAAAUGUUGACUUUUGUGAUGGAGUUCUCGGUUUGCUUGCUAAAGCCAAGGAUCUUGCACUAUAGGAAUGGAAAAAAAAUCAAUAAGAUUCACAGAUAUACUUCCAAUGUUGAUGUCAGUGGAACUGUUAGAAAUUAUAUCAGCAGAUGAUGUACAGAUGUAUUUGUCAUUGCCUGCAAUAGUUUUCUGUUUUUUUCGCCCCAUUCUUGUAGUAAUGACAUCAGGGGGCACAUUUACCCAGGGUCGAAUAUUGAGGGUUAAUUAACCCUCGAUAUUCGACCGUCGAAGU